UUCCCUGUGGCUCAGUUGGUAGAGCAUGGUGUGUGCAACGCCAGGGUUGUGGGUUUGAUUCCCACGGGGGGGG
rnacentral:tRNA from 1 species